UACGUAGGGCGCAAGCGUUGUCCGGAAUUAUUGGGCGUAAAGAGCUCGUAGGCGGUCUGUUACGUCCGCUGUGAAAACCCAGGGCUUAACCCUGGGCUUGCAGUGGAUACGGGUAGACUAGAGGCAGGUAGGGGAGAAUGGAAUUCCCGGUGUAGCGGUGAAAUGCGCAGAGUAUCGGGAGGAACACCGGUGGCGAAGGCGGUUCUCUGGGCCUUACCUGACGCUGAGGAGCGAAAGCGUGGGGAGCGAACAGG
rnacentral:rRNA from 1 species